rnacentral:piRNA from 1 species
UGACUUUAGCGGUUUAAAAAUAGAC